rnacentral:rRNA from 1 species
UACGUAGGGGGCGAGCGUUGUCCGGAAUUAUUGGGCGUAAAGAGCGUGUAGGCGGUUCGGUAAGUCUGCCGUGAAAACCCAGGGCUCAACCCUGGGCGUGCGGUGGAUACUGCCGGGCUAGAGGGUGGUAGAGGCGAGUGGAAUUCCCGGUGUAGCGGUGAAAUGCGCAGAUAUCGGGAGGAACACCUAUGGCGAAGGCAGCUCGCUGGGACGUUACUGACGCUGAGACGCGAAAGCGUGGGGAGCAAACAGG